rnacentral:rRNA from 1 species
AUUGAACGCUGGCGGCGGGCCUAACACAUGCAAGUCGAGCGGAUGAAGGGAGCUUGCUCCUGGAUUCGGCGGCGGACGGGUGAGUAAUGCCUAGGAAUCUGCCUGGUAGUGGGGGAUAACGUCCGGAAACGGGCGCUAAUACCGCAUACGUCCUGAGGGAGAAAGUGGGGGAUCUUCGGACCUCACGCUAUCAGAUGAGCCUAGGUCGGAUUAGCUAGUUGGUGGGGUAAAGGCCUACCAAGGCGACGAUCCGUAACUGGUCUGAGAGGAUGAUCAGUCACACUGGAACUGAGACACGGUCCAGACUCCUACGGGAGGCAGCAGUGGGGAAUAUUGGACAAUGGGCGAAAGCCUGAUCCAGCCAUGCCGCGUGUGUGAAGAAGGUCUUCGGAUUGUAAAGCACUUUAAGUUGGGAGGAAGGGCAGUAAGUUAAUACCUUGCUGUUUUGACGUUACCAACAGAAUAAGCACCGGCUAACUUCGUG